AUUGAACGCUGGCGGCAGGCCUAACACAUGCAAGUCGAGCGGAUGAAGGGAGCUUGCUCCUGGAUUCAGCGGCGGACGGGCGAGUAAUGCCGAGGAAUCUGCCUGGUAGUGGGGGAUAACGUCCGGAAACGGGCGCUAAUACCGCAAACGUCCAGAGGGAGAAAGUGGGGGAGCUUCGGACCUCAGGCUAUCAGAUGAGCCUAGGUCGGAUUAGCUAGUUGGUGGGGUAAAGGCCUACAAAGGCGACGAUCCGUAACUGGUCUGAGAGGAUGAUCAGUCACACUGGAACUGAGACACGGUCCAGACUCCUACGGGAGGCAGCAGUGGGGAAUAUUGGACAAUGGGCGCAAGCCUGAUCCAGCCAUGCCGCGUGUGUGAAGAAGGUCUUCGGAUUGUAAAGCACUUUAAGUUGGGAGGAAGGGCAGUAAGUUAAUACCUUGCUGUUUUGACGUUACCAACAGAAUAAGCACCGGCUAACUUCGUG
rnacentral:rRNA from 1 species